AUCUGUGUGUUGCUCUUUCAGGUUUGAGUAUGAGCACAGUUGAAGAAGAGUCUGACACAGUGACAGUAGAAACCGUGAACUCUGUGACUUUGACUCAGGACACUGAAGGGAACCUUAUACUUCAUUGCCCUCAAAAUGAAACCGAUGAAGUAGACUCUGAAGACAGCACUGAACCUCCACACAAGAGGCUUUGCUUAUCAGAGGAUGAUCAAAGCCUUGAUGAUUCCACUCCCUGCAUUUCUGUUGUUGCAGUUCCCAUUUCAGAAAAUGAUCAGAGCUUUGAGGUGACCAUGACUGCUACCACUGAGGUAGCUGAAGAUGAAAUUAACGAAGGAACUGUUACUCAGAUUCAG